rnacentral:rRNA from 1 species
UACGAAGGGUGCAAGCGUUACUCGGAAUUACUGGGCGUAAAGCGUGCGUAGGUGGUUUGUUAAGUCUGUUGUGAAAGCCCCGGGCUCAACCUGGGAAUGGCAAUGGAUACUGGCAGGCUAGAGUGCGGUAGAGGGUAGUGGAACUCCCGGUGUAGCGGUGAAAUGCGUAGAGAUCGGGAGGAACACCAGUGGCGAAGGCGGCUACCUGGACCAGCACUGACACUGAGGCACGAAAGCGUGGGGAGCAAACAGG